rnacentral:rRNA from 1 species
AUGGGUGAAGAGACCCUCCACCGCGGCUUGCAUCGUUUGAAAAUUACAUCUCAUCACUUACAGUUACAACCCUGCCAUGGCAGUCUCCACCUAGAUAACCUAGCUUACUACUCGCCACUUGCCCGCCUUGAUAUCCUACCAAAGAAAGAAUCGAGGUCCCCCGUGAGAAGGCCCAGCCGUCUUCCAAGUUCUUCCUUCACGGUUGAUGCUCGGAAGUACCUCUCGAAUGGAGGUGGUAGCUUCUUCAAAAACCACAUCAUUCAUAUGUUUCCACGGCUCCCAAAGACCCAACGUGAUGAUGGACUUGAGAUCCUUGGGCGAGUAGUCGCCGCAAGUCCUUGA